rnacentral:rRNA from 1 species
CUGCGAAUGGCUCAUUAUAUAAGUUAUCGUUUAUUUGAUAAUACUUUACUACUUGGAUAACCGUGGUAAUUCUAGAGCUAAUACAUGCUGAAAAUCCCGACUUCGGAAGGGAUGUAUUUAUUAGAUUAAAAACCAAUGCCCCUCGGGGCUCUCUGGUGAAUCAUGAUAACUAGUCGAAUCGACAGGCCUUGUGCCGGCGAUGGCUCAUUCAAAUUUCUUCCCUAUCAACUUUCGAUGUUUGGGUAUUGGCCAAACAUGGUGGCAACGGGUAACGGAGGGUUAGGGCUCGACCCCGGAGAAGGAGCCUGAGAAACGGCUACUACAUCCAAGGAAGGCAGCAGGCGCGCAAAUUACCCAAUCCCGACACGGGGAGGUAGUGACAAUAAAUACUGAUACAGGGCUCUUUUGGGUCUUGUAAUCGGAAUGAGUACAAUUUAAAUCCCUUAACGAGGAACAAUUGGAGGGCAAGUCUGGUGCCAGCAGCCGCGGUAAUUCCAGCUCCAAUAGCGUAUAUUAAAGUUGUUGUGGUUAAAAAGCUCGUAGUUGAACCUUGGGCCUGGCUGGCCGGUCCGCCUCACCGCGUGCACUGGUCCGGCCGGGCCUUUCCCUCUGCGGAA